UGUCAACCCCUUCUCUCAGGGAAGAAGAAAGUGACGGUACCUGAGGAAGAAGCAUCGUGCUAACUCCGUGCCAGCAGCCGCGGUAAUACGGGGGAUGCAAGCGUUUAUCCGGAAUGAUUGGGCGUAAAGAGCUCCGUAGGUGGCUCAUCAAGUCUGCUGUUAAAGGGCGAGGCUUAACUUCNUAAAACCANUGGAAACUGAAGAGCUAGAGUAUAGUAGGGGCAGAGGGAAUUCCUGGUGUAGCGGUGAAAUGCGUAGAGAUCAGGAACAACACCGGUGGCNAAAGCGCUCNGNUGGGCUACAACUGACNCUNANGNACGCAANGCUANGGGAGCGAAUGGGGAUUACAUACCCC
rnacentral:rRNA from 1 species